rnacentral:lncRNA from 1 species
GUUCAUGAAAUAAUUGAAAGAUAAGAUAUUGUCAUUGAAUGAGUAGAAACAAAGAACAACAUAGCAGACCCAUUCACUAAAGCUCUACCAUAACAGCAGUUCGAUCGCCACCUCGAUUGUAUGGAGAUAAAAUAUAAGGGCGAUUAGCUUUAGUGCAAGUGAGAGAUUGAAAGAAAUAUAUCCUACAAACCAAUCAAAAUUUAUAUUUUGAUGGGUUUUUCUUGUAAUCUUCC